rnacentral:lncRNA from 1 species
UUUAACGUUUUCUCUGUCCUUAUCUGCAGGAUCAGAUUUAAAAGUCUCCUCUGCAAUAGAAUUUACAGUCAUCGGAACUUCUGUGGAAGAGGGUAGUGUCCAAAGGCAGCAAGAACUUUUGAAAAAGGAAUGUUUUCACAGCGAUGUAAGAAAUAAAAACUAUCAAAAUCCAGAGGCAGAAUCACAGAAUCAUCAAGGUUCAAAGUGAUCUUCAAAUCUUCUAGCCAGCUGUCAGCCUAGCACCAGCAUAAUCACUCUUAAGCCAUAUGCCCAAGAUCUAUCCCUCUUGAACAUUUUGACAGACGGUGACUCACCACCUCCUUGAGCAACUUAUUCCAAUGCCUAGCCACUCUUUCAGUAAAAACCUUUCUAUGUGUUUAUACGUUAGAUAACCUGCCACCACUUGAGGCUGUGU